UUUAAGAACAUGUAUAAAUCUCCCACCUUGGCUGCAAUGAAUUACAAACUACAGGUGUUUUCAGGAAAAUGUUAUUUCUUCUGUGCUUCCCAACAGCUCAAAGCUCCUUGUCAAAGGAGCAGCUGAGAAAUACUAAUGGAGUGUUAAAAGUAGUGAAGACCUGCUUGCAGUGCUGCUAGAGGGCUCUGGAUGUAAGUAGCAUCAUCUGUUAGAAAUAUUUACUGUUAAUUAUUUGGGGGGCAGUGCUGGUCAGAGCAAGAAUUGAUGAGAGAUCUCAUUGUCCCUUCUCUCCUAUCUGUCAAUGGUAUCUUUUGUUUAUUACAGCUGCCUUAGCUUUAUUACUAAGAGGGUCAAUGUCUAAUAGGAUCAAAUCCUGAAAUAGAAACCUGUGACAGAAAAAGCCUGUGCUGCCUGGAUGCCUUUAUGAUAAAACAUACUGUUGCUUAUGAUGGCUUUCUGAGCCUCCUCUUCAGAUUUCAUUAUUCCUGUAGUAUUUCCAUUUGUCACCCAGGGACAACCUGC